UUGUCGCUGCUCCGCUAUGUUCUCUUGAGGGCAGAGCAGAGGAGAGGAAAGUCCGGGCAACACAGGGCAUCCCGCUUCCUAACAGGAAGAGGUCCGCAAGGGUCAGUCAGUGCAGAAGAGAAUGACCGCCUCGACCAUGAGGUAAGGGUGAGAAGGCGAGGUAAGAGCUCACCAGGCCGGCAGCGAUGCCGGUGCUGUGCACUCCGGGAGUUGAAAGUUCAUGUAAACCGGCGAAGCUUCGCUCCGACGCGAGUCAGCGAAGAGAGAGGGCGGCCCGUCCGAGCCGGAGGGUAGAACGAUAGAGGGCAGCGGUGACGUUGUCCGUAGAUAAAUGGCAAGCAGCCCACACGGGCUUACAGAACCCGGCUUACAGGUUCACUGUU
rnacentral:RNase_P_RNA from 1 species